ACGAACGCUGGCGGCGUGCUUAACACAUGCAAGUCGAACGGAAGGACCCUGCUUUUGUGGGGUGCUCGAGUGGCGAACGGGUGAGUAACACGUGAGUAACCUGCCCUUGACUUUGGGAUAACUUCAGGAAACUGGGGCUAAUACCGGAUAGGAGCUCCUGCUGCAUGGUGGGGGUUGGAAAGUUUCGGCGGUUGGGGAUGGACUCGCGGCUUAUCAGCUUGUUGGUGGGGUAGUGGCUUACCAAGGCUUUGACGGGUAGCCGGCCUGAGAGGGUGACCGGCCACAUUGGGACUGAGAUACGGCCCAGACUCCUACGGGAGGCAGCAGUGGGGAAUAUUGCACAAUGGGCGGAAGCCUGAUGCAGCAACGCCGCGUGCGGGAUGACGGCCUUCGGGUUGUAAACCGCUUUCGCCUGUGACGAAGCGUGAGUGACGGUAAUGGGUAAAGAAGCACCGGCUAACUACGUG
rnacentral:rRNA from 1 species